CCUACGGGAGGCAGCAGUGGGGAAUAUUGGACAAUGGGGGGAACCCUGAUCCAGCGACGCCGCGUGAGUGAAGAAGUAUUUCGGUAUGUAAAGCUCUAUCAGCAGGGAAGAAAGAAAUGACGGUACCUGACUAAGAAGCCCCGGCUAACUACGUGCCAGCAGCCGCGGUACUACGUAGGGGGCAAGCGUUAUCCGGAUUUACUGGGUGUAAAGGGAGCGUAGACGGCGAUGCAAGUCUGAAGUGAAAGGCGGGGGCCCAACCCCCGUACUGCUUUGGAAACUGUAUGGCUGGAGUGCAGGAGAGGUAAGUGGAAUUCCUAGUGUAGCGGUGAAAUGCGUAGAUAUUAGGAGGAACACCAGUGGCGAAGGCGGCUUACUGGACUGUAACUGACGUUGAGGCUCGAAAGCGUGGGGAGCAAACAGGAUUAGAUACCCCAGUAGUC
rnacentral:rRNA from 1 species